GAUGCAUAACAGACCUUCAGUUCUGGUGGUUGCAUUCCUAUUGGGCUAUCUCUCAUCUCAGCUGGACGGUUUCACAGUUGGAGCUUAUUAUUGCAAAGCUGAUGUUGACUUGACCUUAAUCCUUUCGCGUCAACCUUCAAUAUGUCAGAUUUGGCAUUCAUCCAAGAAUCUUCAGAGUUUCAGUCAGGUCAGAGCUGCCCAUAGCACACUGGGCCAGCUAAUAAGUUCAGAAACAUGGCAUCUUGGAUGGUUCAACUGGUCAAAAGCUAAAGAAAGUCUGAAGUUACGGGAGGCUUACCAAGUCGAGCAAGAUGUUGGAGGCCUUGAAGUCGCGGUAGAUCACCGGCGGGUCGGCAUCAUGGAGAAAGGCAAGGCCCUUGGCCGCGCCGACAGCGAUCUUCAUCCUUGUCAUCCACGGGAGAGAGCCAUUGGUACCUGAAGAUGGUAGGAUGUUUCAGAUCAGUUUCCUCCUCCACGUUGACCAAGAGUUGUAGUAACUUGCAAGCACCAGGAAGUUGGUAGGAUAAAUAUUUUUUUAAUCCAAAAUAUCCAGUAUCCCUUUUUAGUAAAUAUCCAAUGUCCACAUUCAUCUGAUUUUAAAAAGAGAAAAUGUGUGUUGUUCUUU